UUAUAUAUACACAAAUGUAAUAUAUCCCAAAUGUAAAAAAUAUAUUUCGAUAUUUCAGCAAUAAAGACCCAGCACUUCAAUCCCCCAUAUAAAAAUAUGAGGUGUCCAAAAAGGGAUCGCUCUAACCAAAACAAAACAACGCUAUAGACAUGAUAUCAGCUGUGCCUUUAUAUUACCCAUUCAUGUUGUAUAGAGUGAACAGAUGGACCAUCAAUUGAGUUCUGUCUACAGCAUCAGAGAUUGAUUUUGUACUUGCUUUUAAUUUUUCCAUAAUUAAUUCGAUUAUUACAACUGUUUUUAUUGAUCUUCUCAUUUACACCAAAAAUAGAAAGGUGAAUUAGCAUAUGAUCUAUGUCUUCAAUUAAACGAACGGCAGAAGAAACAACGAACAACAACAACAACAAUAACACUCCUCAUCAUAAUAUCAACAAUAGCAGUGUUAAGAAACAGCAACUUUCAUUAUUAAUGCAUGAAAAUUAUGCAACUGCGAAAAGGCUUGUUUUAGCAACAUUAAUACUUUUUUUAAUGAUGCAUUUGGAGAUCGCGCUGUAGUAGGGCCUAUUGAUAUAGAUUACAGUGUGCACUUAUGUCAACACAUGGGCCCUAACAUCGCAUUAUAAUAAUAUAAUCCCAGCGUGAAUCGGUUGUCGUUUUAAAUUCGCAGAUUGUCAAUGUCAGACUUUGCAGCACAUAUAAAUAACCCGCGUAAGAGCAGGCAGUUAGUCAAUAAGGUUAGUUGGUGGUCAAGUAGUUUGCGUUUGUAAAGUACACCUACUGUACGAUCUUACCUGAGCUGACGGCGACUCACCCCUACAGCUAGAAAAUAAACACUGACACUGUUUGGCGAGACGAAAAGAGAGCCCUGCGCUUACCUGAUCGACCAGAGCUGUGAGCCAUGGCUUUUCCCUGUCUAAUGGUCCGUUUCGUCGAUGCAGCCCACUAGAUCUGUCCGGCCUCCUGCGUUCCCUCCUCGGCUGGGCGUCCUGCCUCUCCCCGCUGCUUUUCACAACCUUUGACCGAUCAUCCAAAACUAAACGGUUUAUACGACAACAAAAAGGAGAGCAACCUCUGCUCCAGUGAGCUAGAUUGAUAAAGGAUGGAAAAUAGCAAUCAAAGCAAAUAAAGCGUUGCACUUGUUAUAUAAAAGAAAGAAUAAAACUACUGGAAGUUUAAAGGGGACUAAGAGUAUGGAGAUAUGCUAAAAUCCGCACGCAGGCUUUCGCGUUAUGAAAUACUCAAAGGUAGGACUUAUCUUGAUGAAUAUUCAUGAUUAUUUGAAAACACAUUUGUAUGCUUAUGUGUGCGCCCUUCGGCGUGUGUUCUAAUGUUUUGAUCGGUAACUCGUUAACUGUGAAGUUUGGGUUAGAAAGUUCGUGCCGCUCAUUGGCUGAACUUUAAGGUGAACCUGUUCCCGGUAGGAGGGUCUAGCGAAAUAAACCAGCUAAUAUGGCAUUUGCGUCCGUGUUAAUAUAUUGCCAGAUCUGAUAAUUGCAUCUUAUUGGGUUUGACUUUUUUGCGUUUACCAGGUGAUGUUUUAAGAGUCUUAUAAUAUCAUCUAUAUAUUUAUAGCCGAAGUUUUACCAUACUGUUUUUUCAGCAAUUUACUAAAAGCUUACCUAAAUAUUACUAUAGCCAUUCUUCAUGCAUUUCUACUUGUAUACCAUAUAUUAAAUCAAUAAAAUAAUAUUUUAAAUAAUGAUAAUUAGUAUAGCUUGAUAAUAAUUAGGAAAGGGUCUUUUGUAGGUUAUUUCAGAUUAUUUAAAUCACGUUAACCAUGAUUAACAGGUUUUGAUGCUUAUUUUAUCUAAAUGCAAUGAAGCUGCGUAUACAGAUAAAGUAGGACUAACGUUUGGAAAUGAAGUAAGCAUAUUUAAUUCACUAUAUGCAAAUGGUAUUUUGUAAAGUUCUUAAGGGUAAGGCCUUUGAGCUUGUAUUUUUUGACAUUUUACAAACGUUCAAACAUAGACACAGACCGACCCCAACCCCUCCCCCGCUACAUCACUUCUGCCAUCAACUGUGAAUCAAGGUAGAUAAACACCCGUGUAAGGUAAAAUUCUUAAGUGCACAUUAAUUGUACAUUUUAGGUAACGGUUUUACUAAAUUUCGAUUAUAAAGCCUGCCGCGGGAAUAAAACAUGAGAAUGUUUAAUUGUUUCUUUAAAAAAACAUCCAUAACAUUUUAGUGUUUUCUUUUUUUUUGUAUAGCUAAAGUCUCUCAACGCAAGUUAACGCAAUUACUUGCUACCAUAAAUUUCUUACUGUCUAUAAUCAUGUUUACUCACACACAAAAUGUCUAACUUUUAAGCCAGGAGCUAGGAUCUAGUAACCCCACCCGCCUUACCAAACAACAAAAAAAGGCCAAAGUUUUCAGUUGAGUAGUCAAAGGUGUGCUCCCCUGUCACGGAAACAAGACCUUAGUCAUUUGUUUUGGAAGAUGGUUGUAUUUUAAACCAGUGUAACGUUUCUUGUUUUGUAAAAUUUACUGCAUUUCGUGCAUUACCAGCAGUUAUGGCUGGUAAUUAUUUUAUUAGUUGAUAAUAGACCUCUAGGUGCUUUUAUGUAUAUUUUGUUUCAUUUUAAUUUAAAAUAUUUCUUAUUCGCUUGCGGUAAAAAUCAGUUAAAAUAAUAAUAAUAAUAUUACUUCUUAAAAUAAGUAUUUUGAGCAACUAUGCAAUUUAAAAUCCUUUUAAAAAAUCUCCCUGAAAUAUUAAUGACUUUUUAAGAAUAUGAAGUUAUUCUGUGCUAAUGUAAUAUAACGAAUGUUGCCUUUUUCCAUAGGAUUAUUAUUAUAACAGUGACACGUCUCUGUCACUAGUAAUUAACAUACAGGCCAAUUAAAUUAGUCUGAUGUAGAGCAAUGAACAUGUAACAAGGCGUCCACCAAUGUUUUAAUGAAAUCGAUUUCUUUGCUUCUCUCUGGCUUCAGUAACCACAAUUCUGACGUUGUACAGAACCCUAAACUCUGACAAACGUGGAUUCGCACAAAAUGUUUGUUAACUAGGCGAAGUAGAGGCCAUAAUAAUUUAAUGUACAAUUUUAUGGCUUUACCACGCUCUGUCGUUCUUUUGGAUAUUGUAAUAUGGCAUUUUGCAAGUUACUUGUCUGUUAAUGUUCCAGUUAGUAGACUUUAUCAUCCCUUUCCUCUUUUUUCUUUGCGAUCGUUCGCGCUGUUAAACUCUGGCUCAAGUUUCCAUUCAUCCGCUCUACUUAUGUGCAUUUGUGAUGGGGGCUAUACAUGCAUCUGCAUUGAACAUUUGAAGCAUAUUGCUCACAACAUAAUUCCGUGUCAUUGUGCUACUUUAAUGUACUGAAGCCUUGUGGCCGCAUGACUGUUCUCCUCGCAUAGUUGGCGUUUUGCAAUAAACCACAGCUAUGGGUUUUUAUUUUGAAUCAGAUGAAUACGCGUAUUAUUCGUUGUAAGUUUGAGAGGGAUUGUUUUAACGCCCAGCUGGUUUCUGGAUUUUUUUUUUUUAAGUACUGUUUUAGGAUAGUUUCCAGUAGGUUUAAAUACUAUACUAUUUGUGUUGCAUACUAUUAAUGGAUUAUAUACAAGUUUAUGGACUUUUCCUUUUCGUUAAACUAGUAGUAAUAAAAAUAUAAAUCAAAUGGCAAAUCAAACAUAAAGAAAUCAUUAUUAUCUGAACAGUAAUUUAUACCUGUUUGUAUAGUAUGCAACAUUUACAUAUAUUUAAUUUGUCAAAACUCAUUGUUUACAUGUAUUUUAAUAUUUCUCUAUAAUGAAUUUUCAAUUGCCUUUUGUGUGUGUGUGUGUGUGUGUGUGUGUGUGUGUGUGUGUGUGCGUGUGUGUGCGUGUGUGCGUGUGUGUGUGUGUUUGGACCCUGAGGCAGCCCAGGGUGCUCUCAAACCAGCUGCCACUGUUUAAAACAGACAGGAAACAGCUUCCACUAACAUGGCUGCAAUAUGGAAAGCAGCGACCUCCUCAAUGCACCCCAUGGCAUGAUACUAAUAUCCCCCUCACACACACAGGACUUUUGUUAAAUAAAUUGUUAAUGUUUAAUGAUGGUUUAAUAUUUUACCCUUUUUUUGCAAAAAUGCAUAGCAUAUAAAUCCACAACUUAUUUUAAAUAUUUCCAAGAGCAUCAGUUUUUUGUUAUAUUGGAGAUCAUUGCAGGAGGUGCCGCCACAGGCAGCGCUUCGUGAGCGUUUUGUAACUUUGAUAGAGAGUGACUUAGAUUUCCCUUGUGCUGUGGAGAUGCUUUGGUUCACUGUAAAUGGGCUUGUCUGUGUGAGUGCAUAUGUAUUAUCCUUCUGAGAAAUGUGGGUGUGCUCAGCUCCCACACUGGCCUCUGAUCAUCUCCCUGUAAAUGCAGCCUGUCACCUUCAGUGGUGUAAUGAUCACAGAAACAGUGACCUUGAUCUAUGGCUCGCCAUAAUGGAGGAGAGAGCGUCUCUCCCACACUCGGAUGUAACGGUAAAGCCCAGUGCACCAAAGCCAAAGGAGGGUUUCGAACAGGGCCGUGUUUGAUUGGCAAUAAAGCUUGUUGGAGGGUCUGUAAUGGAUGUGAGACCUCUCCUGUUAUCAUCCAUUUGGAUGGGGCAUAGACUGAAGACGAUGCGAUUCCAGAUUGAAAACUCAGGGAGUGGCUGAUUAUGGUUUUAUUGCAUAGUCCAUUACACUGGUCAACACUGCACACAGUUUCUCAAAGCAAGGGCUGUGCUGGAUUAAUGGGCCAGCUCUUCUGUUCUUUCCUGCCCCCUCGGACAUACGGUACCCACCUUUUCUUCCCUUCAGUGCGAGGCUUUUUUGAAAAUGUCCCAGUUCUUGCCAGAUUUAGCUUUAAAUAAGUUUCACCCUCCCUCCCUUUAAUAGAAGGGCACAGCGGGUUCAUACACCCUAUGAGUUUAGCACUCAUCAUUUAUCAUCCCUCUUUUUUUAGGGUGAGAGAUGAGCAAUAUUGUGUCAUUGACUCCUUUAUGAUGCCCAGGGAAAGGUCUGGAAACUGUUUGUGAUUUGUUCUUUUUGUAAAAUAGCAUUGUUAAUAUUAAUGUUAAGGACAAAUAUAGCAUGUGCAGAAUUUGCAACCUUGUGGGAAAAAAAUGAAAUGAAGUAAAUUAAGACAUGAGGGUUGGGAAAAUAGUGGGUCAGCAAAGAUUGUGCCCAGGCUAAGGCCAUAGCAAACGCUGAAGCCACAGACGAUAUAUAAUGCAGGAAAGUACAACAAUUCUCCCUGCAGAAAUCUGGAUGGUUUCGUGAAAUCUGGUCCCCACAACUGCGAGCCCCAUCAACUCAUCUCCCCUUGCCAGCUUUUCAUAUUUAAAGCCAGUACGGGUUUAAUUACCAAAUGAUGACAGUGUCAUAUGGUGCCAUGAUGGCACAGGAUAUGUGCGAGACACUGACUGACAGUGGGAAGCUGGAAAGCAAAACGGGGGAGAAAAAAAUAGCUGAGACAGUAAAACAUCUGUAAUUUGCAAUUCACUGGUGUUCAGUGGUUGCUCAUGGAUUAAAGAUUAAAAACUAUUGUCUAGCAGAUGGAAGAGAGCGAGAGAAAGAGAGAGAAACAUGGAGGGAGGGGGAGCUUCUAAGCAGCCCAUUUACAUUUGUAUAUAAGCAGCACUGUUAGGAUAAUCACAUGGAAAAAAUAAGCUGUCUCCAUCACACACCCAAGGCAAUGCCUCCAUUAGCCCCCAUCUCCAGAUGCAGAUGCUUCUAUUUUCAGAUUGAUUUGCGGCGACAGCAUGUUGCCCUCUGUAACAGCUUGGCAUAUAGUUUGGCACGGUUGCAGAGAUAAUGUUUCAGAUAAUGGCUGUAAGAUGGCAUGCUUUAAAUAGCAUCAUCUAUAAAUCUACCUGUAAUGUGUAAGGCGACCCAAUGCACAGACCUAGAAACUAUUACCUUUUCUCUCAAUACGUCGUGUUUAUCACAGAUAUUAGUUUCCCUCUGUGAUGAAGAGACCAACUACACCUGAUCUUUUUGUAAUUGUAAUUAAUUAGUGUUUUGUUAGUCUUGCUGUGCCUUAAUGAGUUAGCACUGCCCAAUGGAGUGCUGCGAGAGACACUACCUGAUACACAUCAGACUGCAAAUGAUUUUUGCAUAUGGUUCUAGGCUUAAGCUUUCUUUGUGAAGUUGACCCAGGACUAGCCCAGUUUGAUAUGCUCAGAGGUUCCUUUGAUGCAUUGGGUGUAUGGGGGUAAAUGGGCGGCCUACUAGAGCGUGGCAGACCACCUGAGAGUUGUUUUCUGGAUUCUGGGAGGUCACCUGACACCGGUUCUCCCUGAGAAGGUGCACAGCGCUGGAUUUCAUGCGAGCAUCGGUGACGCUGAAUUAAAAGACCUCUUCAAUAAAACAUCACCGGCUUUCAAUGGUGCACGCAUGAGCUGCUUGUGUAAUUGACUUUUUGACUUUUUUUCGGAUUUGCAUGGACUCUCCAAAAGCAGCUCACCUGGCAAGCAUCGCUCUGCUCCAAAAUUACAGUAGCGGUGGGUUAUAUUACAAAUUAUAAGUACUCUCCACUGGUCACAGCUACUCGGAUUGUCUUCAGUUGAAUUCAUGUUAUAUACACGUCAGAGAUCUUGAGUCUCCUGAAAUCGAUGUAAUUGGGUAAAUAAAAUGCUUUAAUAGCUGUAAAUGUUUGAACUAAUAAAAUGACUUCUUCUCUAUAUCAGAUGGAUUUCAUUCUCUAUGAAAAAACUAAAUUCUAUACGCAUAAAACGUCUCGGCCAUUCUAGGACUGAGGAGACUUAUCAUUUCUGUUCUAAAUGGAUGAUUCUGAGCCAGAGGUGAAUCAUACAGGGGUUUGUUUGUAUCUGUGCCUUUGAUCCCCCUCUAAUAGUCCCUACACUGCGCAACAUCUGUCACGCCGCGUGCCACAAUCGCUCACGUGAAGCUUUAGGUGAUGGUGGUGUACGGUUGUUCCUGCCACGCGGUCCACAUGGGCAUCCCCAACGCCAGCUCUCAUUAGCAGGCAGGUGGCGUUAGAGCUUCGACUGGGGCUGUAACAAGGAGUAGAACCUGGCACACCAGGUUGUACGUCGGCGUCGGGUAAUCCCCGCCAGAUUGCCAGAAUAUCAGAAGUGACAUCACAAAGCCAACAAAAAUUAGCAUCCCUAAUGGUCUGCCAGGCCAAACAUUAUUCUUCAUGAUGAGAAGCAGUCAUGCCUGCCCAGGGCUCCUGGUGAUUUGGCCAAAAGUGGAGGAGGCCCCUAAACUCUCAGCUACAGCCAAAACCAACAGCGUCUAUUCUCCAAAGCUAUAAAGACCAUUUCUACUCUCUUGACAAGAAGGAACUGAGGUUUAUGACUUAAAUGCUGCAAAAUUGCUUCUGCAGGGUCCUUGGACGGAGACGUACGUUUUGGGAGGGCCACCUGAAGGCGAAGACCAUAUUUUAAAAAGAGACUCGCACCUGCAUUGGAUAGCCAAAGAAAAACACCUUGAGAAGACGUACAGAAGCUAAAACCAAGAUCAAUGAGAAGAGUGGGAAAGACUGGCAGAUUUAAUUAAUUACUCCAUAUUAGAAUGUUUGUUUACAAAAGUGAGUAGUUACAAGGGGCCUGAUGGUAAUUAAUUUAAAACGCACUUCCCCUUGUCCCUGCUUCGCGUCGCGGGUAGACGUGGUUGUUUCAUGGCAGGUAAGUCUACGUCUCAUUGGAUUUCCAUCAAUUGCUCAAAGGUGUGUUUGAAAACAAAGAUGCAUGGUACGCAAAUUAGCCUGAAUGUUAACAUGAUCGCAUGCUAAGAAAUCUAAUUAGUAUUCAUGGAAAUUAAAAGGGAUAACGCACAUCUAAAAAGAUCCCAUAGUGUGUUUCCUAAUAUUUCACACUUGAGUUCAAGAGAAAAGCUUAUUAUACAAAAUCUUAACAGUUUGAAUAUACAUCAUGAAAAUCUGUUAAUUCUUUAAAGGUGAAGAUGAUUUUAUUUCCCCGACAAUGUCACAGUGGUUGCAGGUGUGCGUAAGUGUGUGUGUUCGACUUUGGUCAGGAGGUCUCCUGAGGUCCCCCUCCAGGACAAUGAUGUAUUUAAGCCCCCUAUGAGGUCAGAUGGACUCUGUCCAGAACAUCACCUGCAAUCAAUAGUGUUGGUAAACCAGGCUCAACUGAGUGGCCAUGAAGACUCCCCUUAUAAACACGCUCGCAGAGAGGCCUGCAUGGCCCAUUGCUCUGCUAAAACCACAACAAAGAUCCCCGCACGCACACAUACAACACAUGCCACCACUCUGAAAACAAGUGUUGAUGACAAAGAGAAGAAAAAUAACAGCACCUCUGUGGUAAGUGAAGCCUCCAGGUGAUGAAAUCCUCUCUAAAGUGACAAAAAAUAGAGGCAAAUUGACAGCCAUGAGAAUGUGUUCAUAAAUGCUGGUGGGUGGUAUUUCUGUGGAAAAAUGAGAGGCGAGUGAGAAUAAAGGCCCACUGGAGUGAGCAAUGGAAGAUUUAUCUAAUUUGUUUUUGCCACGUAGAAUCAUUAUGUUUGUGAAGUCAUGACUGUGGCUUGGAUAUGUACUGUAGGUGUAGAAUGUUUACAGCUGUUUAAAAUGGCUGUUAUGCAUAUCACUGCUGUCCUUCUGAAACCUUGUCCAUAUUUCAAGAACCUUUAUUUUUUGCCAUAAAUCAUAAAAAACAUUUAUGUUUGUAACUGGGAUUUGCAAAUGUCUAACCAAUAAAAAGUAUUAAAAAGUGUUUUUCUUCCAUUUCCUGAAAAACAAUUGGACAUCUGAGAUUUCGGAAGGACAGCAAUGAAUGAUAUGAAACUUUUUUGCAUUUCAAUCUAUACGACAUGUGUCACUGAGUAAUAACUGAAGAGUGGAAUUUAUCUGCAUAUUCUUCUCAAAAUGGGUUUAGCAUCAUUAUUUAUUUUUUACUGUUUUAACGAUAGCCUAAUAUAGGUGCAUUAUUCAUGUAAAUGUAUUAAAUAAAAUAAAAAAACGCCAUGCACUGAAGAAUGUUUGUACUAUACCUCAAAGGAUAUUUUGAGAAAAGUCUCUGUGGUUUUGUACAUUGAGUUGAAGUCAGUGAGGUUCAAUGUUGUUCAUUCUUCAAAAUAUCUUCUUUUGUGUUACACAGAAAAAGAACAUCAUACAGGUUUGCAAUGACAUGGGUGAAUUGGGUGCACUGGUUCAAUCAAGGCUUCACUAUUGGGUUUGAGAGUCAUCUGAGCCCCGGCAACAAAAGCAAACGCUACAGUGAGUGUCUCUACUGUAAGUGGCUUUUGAAGAAUUGGCACAGUCAACUGGAGAACACCUCACAUCUCUCACAAACAAAUGAAGGCCUGGCGCUUCAAAGUGAGAUUGAUAUCUCUCUCUGAACUUCAACCAGAAUAUUCUGAAUAUUGAGAGAGGUGCACGCCUCCCCCGAGACCGCCGAGACACCUUCUCUCCUCCCUCGCCCCGCCAAAAGAGGAGAAAAAAGAUUGCCCUCUAGAUCUUCCAUGUUCAUCAAUAUUCACUCAUUCAUUGUGAGCCAUGGCAGCUGAAAUUUGGCCUAGUACUGCUGAAUGGAUGAACCUGGUACCCACUUUGUCGCCAUAAAGAUGUCUGCAAUUGAGUUUUUGGAUUAAAAUAGAACAAUACACAAUUUUUAUGAACUUCAGACUCAUCUGUAUAUUUUACACAGUGACAGAAAAACUUUUCAAUUUGCUUUGCAAGUCCAUAAGAGUACUCAGCCAUUUAAUAGGUCAGGAAUAGAUGUAUCCGCUUUGUUCUGCUCUCUGACUUAGUGGGAUAAAGCAUCUGUGUGUUUGCCAAAUAUCACAUUGGGUUUUUGUGGGCUUAGAUUUUUUUUAAAUAGUGAAGGAAUCUACUGUUAAAGUAGGUUGUCAUAAAUCAAAUAUGUAUUGCUGAACAUAUCUCAGUUAUGUCACACCAUAUUUCGGCCAAUACAAAUGCAGAAGAGAGUCCUGAGUUAAAAAUAUUGAAGUAAUAAAAUGUAGGAAUCCUCUUGCACAUGCAUGUAAAGAAUGAAGCAUUGAGAUGUAAUAUUUAAAUGACUUGAUUAACCUUAUAUUUGUUUUGGUUUCGGAAUUAAAUAAAUACUAACAGAAAAUAAAACAUUGUCUUGAGCUUACUUGUUAGGAAAUUAAUUCAUAAUUCUUAGGCAAACACUAAUGAUGAUGCUCAUCAUUUUUUUCUAUAAUUCUGUUACAAUAAGGCCGUACAGUAAAUGGCAAUUCUAUAUGUCAGUGUUUCCCUAUUUUUAUUUAUUGGUACAUUGAAGUAAGAUGAUCAUAUUCAUGCUUAGCACAAUAUAAAUGUUUUACACGUGUUUUAGGAUCAGUUUAAAAUAUGAAUAUAUGAUGGAAUACGCCUGAUUUUUUCACAUCUUUCCUGCGUCUUCACAUUCUCUUUCACAUUCUCACAAUCUUUCACAUUGCUGUUGUGUGACUUUGUCAUUCCUGAGGUUUGUUUUUGUUGAAAUUUAACAGACACUGGACUGGAAUGACCACAAUGCAUGCAGAAAUGUGAUUAAAGGCAAAACUGUAGUGCUCUCUUAAUUUUUUGCACAAUGUUAUUAUAGUUUAUUAAUAUUAAGAUCAUGUUGAAUUAAUAUUACAACUUCAGUUCUAACACCCAAGUAUGUUAUUUCACAAAAUAAAAUAAUUUUGAAUAAAAUAAUGUGGACAGAUGUGAGAAAUGUGUUAACUUAGUUUGAAUGUUAUUUUAAAAAAUGUUGUGUUUGCAAAUCUUUUCAGUAUGUGAACACAUGAGAUUACUGUAAACGACUGUAUAUGUAUAAUACAGCAAGUCUACUAAAGUAGGGAGUGCCUUAUUAGUGUCUUGGCCUUGACACAACACAGUUGUACUGCAUUACUUCAAAAUACUCAAAUGUUAAUAUGUAUAUAAAAAAUAUUACUAUGAAGCUUAAUUCAAUAAAUCUAACAAUUGUUACAAAAAGAAACUAUGAAAAUGAACAAGUUUAUCUUGCAAAUCCUGAGCACAUGCACCACUGAACAUCUUCAGGUCUAUGUGUAAAUACAAAAUGAAAAAUUGAAUAAGUAAAUUUAAUACAUUUUCAUUGCAUACUAUGCUGUCGAUAUUAUGUGUAUUGCUAUGGUUGUAAAUAAUACUAACAUUUUCCAUCAUACAGUAUAAUUUCUAUAUGUGUACAUGUUAAAAUGUUUAUAAUACACAACAAAUCCUAUAAUGAUCCUCGGAGGUAAAUCAAUAACUGCAGAGCUACAAGAGAGUGGUUUAUUCUAAAAUGGUAAUUAGCACGGGUCGUGACCUCCCUCAUGGCAUCUCUCAGUCUCCCAUCUGAAAGCCAGGGCAUGUCCGGAGCUGACACUUAAUGACGCUAACAUUACACACUCGCUGAACAUUGUCGGGCUUUUGUCUUCAUUCACAUCGAAAUGAAGUUCUUGGGGCCCACGUUUAUCAAUCAUGGUGGGGCUCCAGCUGUUCGCCAGUCUCUGGCCUGACUUCAACAGCCGCGCUUACAAAUUGUCUCUGAAUAGUGUGGAGCUCUGCCUCCCCACCCUCCACCCUCUUUUUGUCACUGUCUCCUGACAAAUGUUCCUCUGCAGCUUUUCCCAGACAUGGCCGACCCUACCUUCUGCUCCUCACCAUUCAGAGGGGGGUUCUGGCCUCAUGUUCCUCUUCACAAGAUGAGCAUGAUAAUCUGUUGGCCAUUGAGCCUCUUACACAUUUACACUGCGUUAUAGGAAAAGAACAAAUCGUUUCCAUUGUGAAGCGACGUUGUCAGUUUAUAGCAGGUAAGGUACUGAGAUGAAGUAAUCGAGAAUGUAAAUAAAACAUGGUUCUCCAAAAAUAAAUCAUUAUUGCUCAUUUGAUGAGAUGUUUGUUCACUUUGUGCUUCAUUUUUUUUUUUUGUGACACUCUCUGGAUCUUCUAGGCUAGAUGGUGUCUGAUGUCCUUCUAAAAUUUCUCUUGGGUCCAUCCUGUAAAACAAAACAAUAGAAGCAAAAUCAACAUGGUGAGGAGAUGUGUCGGCCGCAGAGGUUUGAAGGACUUAUGUAGUUUCUCUUUCACUCCGGUUGGAAAAGUGAAAUAAUUAAGACAGAUGGGCAGAUGAAUUAGUUGUCUUCCAAGGUCAAACGCUGAUUGUCUUAUUACUCUAUUACUUCACUGUUGGGAAAUUGUUACCGUUGACACUUUUUCAUGAUAUUCUUUACAUCCACAAAAGAGAAGGCUUGAGUGAAAGAGUGAGAGAGAUACAAAUUGAUUGUUUGGCUGCCAAAUCAGUCAUAGUCAUCUUGGGUGGAAGGAUUAAUGGGUCUGAUGGCUGUUGCAGGUUCAGGCAGGAGACGGGUUGAAAACAAGAGAAAUUGGUUUGGGCCCCCGGGAGCCGAAUCGAUGUUUCCUCAUGUCUUCCUGAAAGGGACCCAAGGAGGUUAGCAGCUGUGACAAAAAUCAAAAUCCAUUUUCUGUGGCCAAAUGUAAUGAGGACCAAAUGGUGGAUGUUCCAUUCAUCUCUCCAGCCUGUCUGAGCACUCAGGCCACAGGCAGGAGGCUUGUAAGGGCAGGUGUGAAUGCUGGGGGGGGGGUGCAUUGUACAGGCAUGCAAUUUUUACUUGUGUUAUGUCUGUAAUACACCCAUGCUUUUUGCUAGAAAUAGUGUGUAUCUAAAAUAAUCUUGAAUA